UACAGAGGUCUCAAGCGUUGUUCGGAUUCAUUGGGCGUAAAGGGUGCGUAGGUGGCGGGGUAAGUCAGGUGUGAAAUUUCGGAGCUUAACUCCGAAACUGCAUUUGAUACUGCCUUGCUUGAGGACUGGAGAGGAGACUGGAAUUCACGGUGUAGCAGUGAAAUGCGUAGAUAUCGUGAGGAAGACCAGUGGCGAAGGCGGGUCUCUGGGCCGAUACUGACGCUGAGGAGCGAAAGCGUGGGGAGCGAA
rnacentral:rRNA from 1 species